rnacentral:rRNA from 1 species
AACGAACGCUGGCGGCAGGCCUAACACAUGCAAGUCGAACGCUCCGCAAGGGGAGUGGCGCACGGGUGAGUAACACGUGGGAACCUACCUUCUGGUACGGAACAACCAAGGGAAACUUUGGCUAAGACCGUAUACGACCUCCGGGUGAAAGAUUGAUCGCCGGAAGAGGGGCCCGCGUCCGAUUAGGUAGUUGGUGAGGUAACGGCUCACCAAGCCUUCGAUCGGUAGCUGGUCUGAGAGGAUGACCAGCCACACUGGGACUGAGACACGGCCCAGACUCCUACGGGAGGCAGCAGUGGGGAAUAUUGGACAAUGGGCGCAAGCCUGAUCCAGCCAUGCCGCGCGAGUGAUGAAGGCCU